ensembl:lncRNA
GAGUACAAAACAAAACCUUUAGAGUCCUAACUAAAUUGAAACCUCCAUUAUCCAGACCACCAAUGCAUAUUGAUGGUGAAUUGGAAAGUCAAACAUGAAAUUCUCCUAACUUCAUUCUUUGUUGUCCAAAUCCUCUGAUAAUUAUUACACCUUCAGUAUGCAAAGUAAACACAAUGCUGCAUUGAUUGUGUUUUUCAAGGUCUGCGCUCUAAACUUCCAGUAUAAUUGAACAGUUCUGAAUAUUUCAGAAAUUUAGUUGGAUCUAUCGUAAGACAUAACCAAAGAGUUUUUGUAGUGAGUUCAUUUUAUUAUACUGUAAUGCUUUUCCUACAGUUAAAAUGAGUAAAACAUUCUUAACUGAAGGUUUGUGUUACUUAAUAGAAGUUUUUCUGUAUAAACCUGAACUCCUAUCAUGUAGAAAAGUAGAUUUUUUUCAUAUUCAGUAAUAGAAAGCAAAGAGAUUAGCAAUUUCCCCUUCACAAUAAACUAAACCAUGAAGAAUCAAGCCCAGUGGAUCUAUAAUAAUAAUUUAUAUUUGUUGAAUAGUCAUUGUAAUUUGUGUGGUGUAUUAUCUCAUCUGGUACACCAGAGUACACUAAACCCUGUAAGCUUCCAUUAAUGGGAGCAAGUCUGAGAGUCAAGUAUUUUAAACCCACAUAUUAGAGAAGAGAAGAUGAAAACUCAGAGAGAUGAUUCUCUAAAAGCAUGGUCAGUUACUGGCAAAUCUGAGACUUAGACUUCUAAUAGAAACAAAAUUUACUAUUUCAUCCACAUUGUCCUAGAGUCCCUUUUAUUAAUAAGGGACAAUUCCUAUAUAUUCAGUUAGUAAAAUGCAGAUUUAUGAAUUACUUAAUUUUGAUAGAAUAUAUAAAACUUAAAAGCUGCGUCUAUCUGACUUGUACACUUGCAUGCCACACAGAUGUCAAUAUUUGGGAGGUUUGCAAUUGGACCAUCUGUUCUGCAUGGGUAUAUGUGACGUGGUUGAGCCCUCUCUGCAAUGCACCAUUUGCUGUUCUUUGUGUUUUUGCUGUUUUAAAGAUGUGCAGGAAUAAUGGGAGUAAGUUGGUUUGAAGUGUAGAUAAUACCAAAUAUGAUACCAAACAAAUGAGAAAGCUACAGGAAAUGCAAUUGAAAUUACUUCCGGACACAGAGGUCAAGAAUACCUAUUUAAAAGAUGUUGGAAAACAGGUCAGGAUGGUUGACACCUAGUUCAUUGUUACCGUGCAGUGUGAUGAAGUUAGGUCCAGUCCGAGAGUCUGAAGAGUGGAAGGUGGAAAAGGUGAGACCUGAGGGAGAAACUGCAUAUACGGCCAAUUAUACUGACAAGGUUGCCUAAGAUUCUUUUUUUACUCAGUUGAAAUAAAAUCUCUCUGCUGUUUGGCAAUGGCAGGCACUGCUGCUAAGUCCACUGAAGCAUAGCUGGAAAAUCCAGCUGCCCUCACAUCUGUUUUGCAUGACCUUUCAAUCAUCAGCAAAUGCUUCUGCCGCUAGGAAUGGAAGCCUGGGUAGGAUAUGGCUGUGUGACUUUCUAAGCUAUCGCUAUGGAAAACAUAUUGAAAGAAAAUUCACGCAUGCCAUGCCCUGUGCCCAGAAAUUAUAGACUUGUCUGGGCAGUGUUAAGGUUUUGACCCAUCAAGAGUGCUCACACCUGCUUCUUACAUUCAAGUUGUUAAUCCUUUGUUCAGAAAAUGAGACAUAUUAUGAAAUAUGUGAAUGAACUGCUAUGGCUUAAGUCUUAAGUGUGUAGGCUCUUAAACUGGUUCAAACUGAAAUAAUGUUGAUGAAAUAAUGUCUUUUAGACUUCUAACGAUUACAUUUAAUAGACGUCAGAAAGCUGUAUGACUUGACUUGACUCUGAGAUUAUUUAAGAGCCAUGACUUGGUUACAGUGCUUGCUUGAGUUCCACAUUGUAAAGAAAUGAUCUGAAAAUAAAAAA